rnacentral:rRNA from 1 species
UGUAACCGCUAGCGGCGUGCCUAAUGCAUGCAAGUCGAACGGGAUCCUUUGGAUUAUUCUGAAGGUGAGAGUGGCGAACGGGUGAGUAACACGUUGGUGACCUGCCCCAGAGAGGGGGACAACCACUGGAAACGGUGGCUAAUACCCCAGAUGUCAUUGAGUUUAGAAAUCAAUGACCAAAGCUCCGGCGCUCUGGGAGGGGCCUGCGGCCCAUCAGCUAGUUGGUAGGGUAAUGGCCUACCAAGGCUAAGACGGGUAGGGGGCGUGAGAGCGUGACCCCCCACACUGGUACUGAGACACGGACCAGAUACCUGCGGGUAGCAGCAGCAAGGAAUAUUGCCCAAUGGACGAAAGUCUGAGGCAGCAACGCCGCGUGGAGGAUGAAGGCCUUCGGGUUGUAAACUCCUUUUCUGGGGGAUGAGAAAGGACAGUACCCCAGGAAUAAGUCUC